rnacentral:rRNA from 1 species
CAAGUCGAGCGAGAAAGGGGGCUUCGGCUCCUAAGUACAGCGGCGAACGGGUGCGUAACACGUGGGUGAUCUGUCCUCGAGAUGGGGAUAACCCAGCGAAAGUUGGGCUAAUACCGGAUAAGACCACAGGAGGAAACUCUAGAGGUUAAAGGGUGCGUCCUUCGGGGCGCAUUCGCUUGAGGAAGAGCCCGCGGCCUAUCAGCUUGUUGGUAGGGUAACGGCCUACCAAGGCAAAGACGGGUAGCUGGUCUGAGAGGAUGACCAGCCACACGGGGACUGAGACACGGCCCCGACUCCUACGGGAGGCAGCAGUAGGGAAUAUUGGGCAAUGGGGGAAACCCUGACCCAGCGACGCCGCGUGGGUGAUGAAGGCCUUCGGGUCGUAAAGCCCUGUCGGGAGGAACGAACGGUCUUGCGGCAAAUAGCCGCGAGAUGUGACGGUACCUCCGAAGGAAGCACCGGCCAACUCCGUGCCAGCAGCCGCGGUAAGACGGAGGGUGCAAGCGUUGCUCGGAAUCACUGGGCGUAAAGGGUGCGUAGGCGGUCUCUCAAGUCUGGCGUGAAAGCCCAGGGCUCAGCCUUGGAAGUGCGCUAGAAACUGAAAGGCUGGAGUGCCGGAGGGGAAAGUGGAAUUCCCGGUGUAGCGGUGAAAUGCGUAGAUUUCGGGAGGAAUACCGGUGGCGAAGCGACUCUCAGGACGGCAACUGACGCUUAGGCACGAAAGCGUGGGGAGCAAACAGGAUUAGAUACCCUGGUAGUCCACGCCGUAAACGAUGGGCACUAGGUGUCGGGGGUAUCCACUCCCUCGGUG